CCUACGGGAGACAGCAGUAGGGAAUAUUGCUCAAUGGGGGAAAUCCUGAAGCAGCAACGCCGCGUGGAGGAUGAAGGUUUUCGGAUUGUAAACUCCUUUUGUUAGAGAAGAUAAUGACGGUAUCUAACGAAUAAGCACCGGCUAACUCCGUGCCAGCAGCCGCGGUAAUACGGCGGGUGCAAGCGUUAAUCGGAAUCACUGGGCGUAAAGGGCGCGUAGGCGGGAUAGCAAGUCAGAUGUGAAAUCCUAUGGCUUAACCAUAGAAGUGCAUUUGAAACUGUUAUUCUAGAGUAUGGGAGAGGUAGGUGGAAUUCGUGGUGUAGGGGUAAAAUCCGUAGAGAUCACGAGGAAUACUCAUUGCGAAGGCGACCUGCUAGAACAUAACUGACGCUGAUGCGCGAAAGCGUGGGGAGCAAACAGGAUUAGAUACCCCUGUAGUC
rnacentral:rRNA from 1 species